rnacentral:tRNA from 1 species
CGGGAUGUAGCGCAGUUUGGUAGCGCACUUCGUUCGGGACGAAGGGGUCGCAGGUUCGAAUCCUGUCAUCCCGA